rnacentral:tRNA from 1 species
CAUUAAAUAACUUAAAUAAAGUAUUAACCUCUUAAGUUAAAUUAUAGUAAAUAUUUACUUUUAAUGA